UAGACAACUAACUCAAAAUUGUAUCUUCGCUUUAAUCACUGCUCUGGUGAUAUUUGCAUUAAUGAAGGAGAAAAGAAAGGAUCCCCAACAGAUGGAGAAGGUGGCUCUCUGACUAGUGAAAGGACAACUUCCAGUAAAAGAAGGCACUGAGAAUUAAGUGCUACGUGGGAGUAGUUGCCAAUUUUUGCAAUGGAGGCUGCAUAGAUUCAAGGACUUCCUCGGGUGCUCCAGGAGCUUGUCAUUCCAGAGGCAGAGCAGCCCAGAAGUCCUGGGAUUUACACCUCUAGUAGAAACCCUCAACCAGAGAAGGAUGGAAGUCAAUGGGUGGAUUGGAAAGCUCCAUUCUGUAUCAUCCUAACUCAAGGACCUGGACUGAAGGAUUUCUGCUUUCAAGAAGAAAAAAAAAAAUAGAAGACAUGUUUACUAAUACACUGCUACGCCAUCUGGGAUGGGGUGACGCCUGGAUGAGAUGUCAUUUUAAAGGACAUUUCUGGGACACGCUAGCAACAAGGCAAGUUUUCAGGUGGCUGCCAUUUCCUUGUCAUUUACCUUCUAUGGACAGGAGAGAGUCU